AUGUACUGGACUGAUUACAGGGAUCCUUGGAGCAGAGUGCCUGUCUUGGGACAAAAGGCUUUGAGGUGUACAAGCCGUGGCUAUGCAUCACAGCGUACCUUAAAUGAGGUGGUGAUAGCAAGUGCUGUAAGGACACCGAUUGGAUCUUUCCAAGGAUCCCUUUCAUCAUUGCCAGCCACUAAACUUGGUUCCAUUGCAAUUAAGGGAGCAAUUGACAGAGCAGGGAUCCCUGCAGAAGAAGUGAAAGAAGCGUACAUGGGUAAUGUCUUGCAGGCUGGCCAAGGACAAGCUCCAGCAAGACAAGCAGCCCUUGGUGCAGGUCUGCCAAUCUGCACUCCUAGUACAACUGUCAAUAAAGUCUGUGCUUCAGGAAUGAAAUCAAUCAUGAUGGCAGCACAAAGCUUGAUGUGUGGGAGUCAGGACGUCAUGGUUGCUGGUGGAAUGGAGAGCAUGUCUAAUGUUCCCUACACAAUGAGCAGAGGGGCAACGCCUUACGGAGGGGUAAAGCUGGAAGACCUGAUAGUAAAAGAUGGGCUGACAGAUGCUUAUAACCAUAUCCAUAUGGGCAACUGUGCUGAAAACACUGCCAAGAAGUUCACAAUUUCACGAGAGGAACAAGACACUUAUGCCAUAGGCUCUUACACUAAGAGCAAGACAGCCUGGGAUGCUGGAAUACUGAAGAAUGAAAUAGUCCCUGUCACUAUAUCAAAAAAAGGAAAGCCAGACAUAGAAGUGAAUGAAGAUGAAGAAUACAAACGUGUUGAUUUUAGCAAAGUUCCGAAGCUGAAAGCUGUUUUCCAAAAAGAAAAUGGAACCAUCACAGCGGCCAACGCCAGUACCCUGAAUGAUGGAGCAGCUGCCUUGGUGCUGAUGACUGCAGAGGCAGCCAAGAGACUGAAAGUCAAACCAUUGGCACGGAUAGUAGCUUUUGCAGAUGCUGCUGUUGAUCCUAUUGACUUCCCAGUUGCACCGGCCUAUGCUGUCCCCAAGAUUCUAAGUGAGACAGGCCUGAAAAAAGAAGACAUUGCAAUGUGGGAGAUCAAUGAAGCGUUCAGCGUUGUGGUGCUUGCCAACAUGAAAAUGCUGGGGAUCGAUCCGCAGAAGGUGAACGUGAACGGCGGCGCCGUCUCCCUGGGACAUCCCAUCGGGAUGUCUGGAGCAAGGAUUGUUGUUCACAUGGCCCAUGCGCUGAAACAAGGACAAUAUGGGCUGGCAGGAAUUUGCAAUGGUGGAGGAGGUGCUUCUGCAAUAUUGAUAGAGAAGCUGUAGGCCCAUCCAGCCUUGGAGACACCUGCCAGUCAAAACCAGAUGUGGUUUGUUACAUCUUACUCGGCAGUAAGCAGCAGAGGGAAUAAAUACUUUAACUAGGAGGGAUGGGGAGCUGUUCUUUCUGAGAAGGAAUAUACUUGUAAGGAGCAAAUGCCCAGCGAGGGGUAAAUGCUACACUAAGAAAACUGACCUUCCCUCAUGUUCUGACACCUGCUCCAGAAGUAGACUGCUAUAGGACAGCAACUUGGAACUGAAGAUGCUUCUUCCUCUGAAAGCGUAAGUGAACUGAUAACGAACAAGACAGAUUAUGGGAAACAGUGGGUGUGCCAUGAAAGCGUGACACUUGGCCUCAAGCAGGAGCAAGUCUACUUAAAAACAUCACCUAGCUACGGUCAGAGCACUAGUCAGUGUCCAAUACGACCAUGUAGCAAAGAACUGGUUUUGUCAUUCUGUCACUUGCUACUCUUGGAGCUCUGUGUUUAACACCAAAUUCCACAUCUUAAAAAAUGACAGCUCAGCACAGCUUUUCUGUCCUGUACCUGCCCAGCUGGACUCACACAACAUGAAGCAAGACACACAUCUUUUUAUUAAACCAAAAAUAUUUAUUCAAGCUGUAAAUGUUAUGCAGUAUUUAGUUAUUGGAUGGGUUUAAUAUAAACAUCUACUGCAUAUAUUGGUUCCUUAGGAAUCCUUGUAUAGUGUCUGAACCAUUGCCCUCUUGCUGUACAGA